rnacentral:lncRNA from 1 species
GUUGGUCCGUCUUUGUUAUUUAUUUAUUUUGAUGACCUUAUCUGUUUUUGAAGAAAAAUAAGAGUGGUAUAUUGAAUCUCCAAGUCAGGGGUCUGAUGCCAUUUUUCGUUGAAGUUGGAUACUGUUAAUUUCCUUGUUAAAAUCCCUUUGUUUUCAUCCUACUUUUUACUUAUCAUCUUUCAUAAUAUUUUUGCUGAUUUGUGCAGAAAGGCAUUGGAGAAAGGCAUUAGUGAACUUCAAUCAUUUUAUAUGCAUAAAAAGAGGUGCUAAUUUAUCUAUUUGCUUUUUACUUUUAAAUCAUAAGAAUAACUUGACAAUUGCUUCUAAUAAUUUAAUUCUAAAAAAUCAUUGAUGUGGAGAGAGAGGCCUAUGAAGCCUUCAAAUUGGUUGUACUAUAUGCUCUGCUUUCUUCAUUUAAGCACUUACUUAUCAUAUCUUUAUUUCAGAAUAUUUGGUGGUGAGAUUGAAGUUGAUAAAAUGUUUCAUUACUUAUAUAUCAACAGCAUUAUACUAAACACACAUAUGUGCAAAUAUAAGGCUGAUAAUAAUGGGAUUUGUAACAUAUUCUAUGUUGGCAUUUAUAAUUUUCAGGUUCAUUGAUGCUUUUGGAAGAGUCGUUGUUCAAGCAUGACAAUUGCCAGACAUACUGCAUUUGAAAAUUUAUUAUUUCACCUUACAUGGAGCUUAUUAAGAGCUUGAUUCAUAGUAGGAAAACCAUCUGAGCGUUGAAUGUGAAUUUUCACUUGCAUAGCUAAAAUGAGUUGGGAGAGAAUUUGCUUAAUUGUACAAAAGUGAGAUUGCAUCAAGUGUUUGAGGGGUUAAGCUUAAAUCAUUUCUUUGUACUAUGAAGUUCAUAGUGGAUUCAUCUUUGGGCAAAGCCCCGUAGACGUAGGACAAGUUCCGAACUGCGUAAACAUCUUAAUUGUGUUCUUUAUUUUCCUUGUUGCAUAAUAUGUACCAACUCAGGAAAAAACACAUUUUAAAUGUUCCAAACAGUAUUCAAAUGCAGGGAUGCACAAUUGAUUAUGAGACAAUAAUUGUUUUAGACGGUAUUUCACAUUUUUCAAUUAUGAUGCUUCCAAAAGAUGUCGAUGUCCUGGUUGUAUAUACAUGACACGUGUGUUGAUGAUUAUGUUGGCACACAUCAAAUUACAAGUUGAAUAACACCUUAUAAAGGCCUAUCAUGGCACAAGCCAAUAUUCCAAGCAUCUAAUUGUUAUUUUUCCCAUUGUUUUCCUUAUCAAAAUACAAGUAAUUUUCAACAAUGUAAUUAAAAUGUAAUUUUCAACAAGGUAGCGAAAUGUGGAAUUAAAUUUUUCAAAAAUUUUAAAGAACCUAAUGAGAAUUUCAAAAAAAAAGGGUCUAAUUAAAACUAACAAGACUAUUAAAGGGCUUAGUGAAGAUUUUAAAAAAAUUGAGGAGUUUAAUUAAAAUUUUCAAAAAAAUUGAAGGCUUAAUUCGAAUUUCCCAAAUUUGGAAAGGGGGAGGGGUAUGGAGAGCUCUGGCUCCCAUUGCCUUCUGCCUCGAGUAAUUUUUGAAACUAUAAAGAAAGUGUUGUGAUCUGUCCAUGGCAUUGUAACCUACGCUCUCUAUCACCGGCAAAAAUUCCAAAGUGUCGGCAUCUUCCGGAGAGGGUUGCAAUUUCUUUAUCUCUCUGAUUUGCCCAAUUUUAGAUCGCUUCUGAGAUGACCAGUUUGAAAUCUUUACAUAUACGACAAAUUCCUCAGUUGGAAGGACAUUGGCGCUGAUUGGCAUAAAAUUGCUCACAUCCCACGCAUUUGGUUGUAAUCAGGUUGAUGGAAAGGCAUUUGUGCAGUAACCCAUUGGAGAAAGGCAUUUGAGAACUUCAAUAAUUUGCAAGAGUUCCUCAGUUGAUGGAAGGACAUUGGUGCCGAUUGAUUUGUUGGCUUUUGAGGUCUUUGAUCUAUUAUUUAUCCUUCCUCCUUUAGCAGAUACAGGUGUCUGGAAGGGACUGUUGGAUAUGCUGGUAACUCCUGGACUGCUUUGUCCAUUGGCUAGACUCAUCAUUUUUGUCUGCUGCGCUUUUCCUUUUUAAUUGCUGAGAAAAAUCAGCAAUAAUUCAAAGUAGUGACAAUGGCAGGCAAAAUUACAAGGUCCCUUAGUAUCUGUGCAUGGUUAUAUCUACAUUAACAACCAAUUGAAUUGAAGAAAAUAAAAUAAAAAAGAGCAUAAGUUUAACAGAUGCAUAUGUAGGAGAGCUUGUAUAAGAAAACUUACUGUUAGUCAUAAGAACCAUCAGAAAUGCUUCACUACUUGAAGACAGAAUGAAAAAGGAAUAUAAUAUACGAACAUAAUUUUGCCUGACAAACUAUCAGACAUAUUAUACAUAAGGGGGAAAUAUGUAUAUCAACUGAAUCAUUUUUCAAACAUCCAUCAAAAGAACUAACACCCAUCAAGCUUUCUUCAUAUAGAGCACGGCAUUAAAUGUUUGGCUUUAAACCGAGAAUGGAGUAGCAUAACAUAACCUUCCUCUCUUACUAUAACAUUUAUAUUACGUAAAACUAACAUACUAUCAAUUGCAAUUAUAUUUGAUAGUACUAAAACUUAGUUUUCUCAAAUUAAGGCAUCAAAAUGUUAAAGUCAUCAGGUUUUGGACAUUGGAUGAGGCAAGCAUUCAUUAUAUUUCAACUUAGUUCAGCAAACGAGCACUUUAACCAUCAAAUACAUCAUCAAAAAACGGGAAUAGAUCACGUAUUAAAAUACAGACAUCACAAUAUCACUGCAGAAACAACUAAUGCUACUGAUAAUUUAUCCCCUAAGAAACUUACCCACCAUGAAAAGUUCUAUUUAUGAACAGAUCAAAAGAUCACACAAAAAAAUUAAGCAAACGACAUUAAGUGUUAAGUGAGAGUACAAUUCUCAUCAAAAUUGAAAUAAUAUACUACUAAUUACAUGAUAGCCACCAUUUUCAAAAGAGAAUUUUUGAACUCACUGGAAAUCUCACAAUAAUUGCUUCAACUUCUUGAUCGGCAACGAUUCCACGACUUUUACUAGGUGAAAAUCUGUGAUAAUCAUCGGGAUGAACAAACGGCGGGUUCGUCGAAGCGAAGGCCAGGUGACCACGUAUCGGCGGAACAACCGGAGGAACCGUCGAAGCUGGUGCUGUGGAAGCCGUAGGAGGAGGUUGAUACGGCAGCGUGGGACCAUCGCCGGACAUGGAGGUUUAUGAUUUCUAGGGGAAGGAGGUGGGGGUAUAAUUGGAAUUGGGGGAAUAGGAAGAGAGAGAAAGUGAGGGUUUUAGUUUAGACGUUAGAGAGAGAGUAGAAAACGAGGGAAAAGGGAGGGAAUCUUUUGUUCGGAUAAAUGUGGAGGGAAGUAUUUUGUACAUAAUUACAAUUUAUUUUUAUCUUUUUGAACUCUUAUCUUUUUCAAUUAUUCAAUUUCAUCCACAAUAAGAUUCAGAUACAUGUAUAAGGGUGAAAGUACCUGUAGUAUAGGGACUACAUCAAAUUAGUCUCAAUACUAUUAAAAAUGAUCAAAUAAAACCAAAUUACCAUAGAGUAAACAUUUAUUGCAUAAAAAUGUAUUAAAAUUUGUUAACUCUGAUAAUGUUAAUUCUGUUACAAUUUGAUAUAAUUUUAUUCUUUUUUAAUAAUGCAAGAAUAAAUUUGAUCUAUUUAAUAAUCAAGAGACUAAUUUGAUACAGUCUAUAAUAUGGGGACUUCCUAAAUACUUUAAGCUUUAUAAGUUGACCCUAUUUCACUAUUCAUUUAAUAUUAAAAAUUAAUGUUUUAAUAAUAUUUACACAUUUUUAUAAUUAAAUAUAAAUAAAAUGUUUUUAAUUAAUAAAGAGUAAAUCAAGUUGUAUUAAGUUUGCCCAAAGCAAAUAAUAAUAAUAAUAUCUUAUCAAAGAAUAACCUUCAAUCUGACCAAAUUGAAUGGGUUAAAUCAAGCAAGUAAUUAUAUUUUUACUGUGUGAAAUAAUAAAAUUUAUUUUUCAAUUUAUGUCUAAAUAAGUUUUUUUUUAUAGUUUUAUUUGUAUUUAGAUAAGUUUAUGGUUUUCUUUGGAUGUAUAAUUGGAUCAAUUCUAGUAAAAUUAAAAAUAACGUUGGGGUGAGAUUAGUUAUUGGAAUAGUUAGAUUGAAUAUCGUAGUGAUGUGAUAAUAACCAGUUUUGGAUAUAUAUUUGGAUUCAAUAACAAUUGUAGUAGUGAGGUGAGGUUAAAAAUGGAUAAAAACACCUCUUCCAUCCCUCUUUAAUUCAAUAUUUUGCAAAUUGGCCCUUCUAAAAAAAUAGAGUAAUUUAAUCCCUAUCAAUUUCAAAAGUGAACUAAGGACAAUUAACAAUAAUGUUAAUAUUUUUUGUCACUUGUAUAUAAUUUUGAUUAGUAUAAUCACAAAUUCAGUUCAUACAUAAUGUGUAAAUGUUGCAAUUUGAUUUAGUUAACCUAGAACUAAAUUGACAGAAUGUGUAAACUUUUAGGGCUAAAGUUAUUAUUAUACCAAUAAAAAUGUGUACAGAUGACAAAAAUAUUAACAUUGUGCUUAAUUAUUCUUAGCUACUAUAUUUCGAAAUUAACAAUGAUAAAAUUGCUCUAAAUUUUUUAGAAGGACCAAUUUGCUUGAGAUCAAAAUUGUAAGGGACCAGAAAGGUGUUUUCACCUUAAAUUGAUUAUUACGGAUGUUAAAUUAUUUAUAUUUAUAAAAUGAAAUAAUAUAACAUAUACUAAAUUUGCAAACAUGGUAAAUAAUAAAUUUAUUAAUAAAUAUAUUUUUAUUAAUUUUUUUAUUUAUUAUUACAUAUCUACUUAUUUAGAUUUAAUUCAUAUAAAAUUUGAUUAUGAAAAUUAUAUUUUUUCUUUGAAAUUAUUAUAAACUCAAAAUUCUAUACUUUAUAUAAAUGAAAAUAAUAAAAUAUAAUAAAAUUAUUUAUAUUAAAUAAUAAUUACAAAUAUAUUUAUGAUAAUAAAUUUACAUGUAUUUAAUAUAUCAUUAUAUAAAUAUUAAUUUGUAAUAUAUUUAAUUUUUAUAACAAUUAAAUAAUUAAAUUUAUAAUUAUCGUAUGAUAUGUACUUAUAUAACACCUCUAUAAGGUUAUAGUGAGAAAAAACAAUCUCAUUGCAAGUUAAAUUUUUUAAGAAAAUCUUUUAUGUCCAGUUUGGUGCAAUAAAAUCAAGUGAUACUUACCUCAAUUUGCUUAUCAUAUAUAUUAAUUUAAAUUUUAACAAUUAAUAAUUAAAUUCGAAUUAUAGUAAUACUAACCGAAAUUUCUCUCGAGUCGCUCCUUGUCCACCUUCUCCUUUCCUUUAUUGGUCAAUGACUCUUGCACGACAUUAGCUACGUAAUUAAACAAUUAAAAAUUAUUAAUACACAAUUUCAUCAAAAUAUUUCCAUUUAUACCUAAACUUUACCUAAAUUCUAAUUUAAUCCUUUAUCAAUACUAAUUUUAUUUUCCCAAUCUAACUCCAUAUUCUUUCUCAAUUCUUACUAUAAACUCAUUUUAACUCUUCAAUUUCACCAUAAAUCCCUAAUUUCUGGAUUCUUUUAAUUUAGUCCCUACUAAUCAAAACUUACACUUUAUUUUACAAUUAAAUCCUUUACUAACUUGUAACUUGAAAUUAAAUUAAUUUAACCCCUAAUUCUUUCAUUUAUUCAACAUAAUCAAUGUCUAGAAAUCUAAUAACUUCCAAAAUUUUGACAUAAAUCCAAUAAUACUUUGUUCUAGGAUUCCAAAAACAUCAAAACUAAGAGAAAAGGGAUUAAAUUGACUGACCAAAUUUUCCUUUUUCUUUUUCUUUCUUUCUUUUUCCUUCUUUCCUUUCUCUGUUUCGUUCUACUUCUCUGUUCUUUUUCUUUCUUUAUUUCCUUGUUUCUUUUAUUUCUUUACUUUAUAUUAUAAUAAUAAUAUAAUUACAAUAAAUAUCUAAUUAAUAACUAAUACAUAUAUUACAAAUGUAUACAUAUAUUUUUUUACACCUGUACUUAAUCUAUACCCUACACUUUCACAAAUUAAUUUAUUAAUCACAUAAAUAUCUUAUAAUUUAAUUAUUUAUCCAAUAAAUUUGUAUUUAAUAGACAAUAUAAAUAUUACAAUUGUAUAUAUUUAUCUUUUUACACAUUUGUUUAUAAUUACCACACACUUGUCACUUUUUAUUGUUUAAUUAUUAGUUUAGUCCUUUCACCUUUCUCUUUUCUAUAAUUAACUUUCACACUUAAUUCAAUUUAGUCCUAAUACAUAAUUAACUUUAAUUCAACUAAAUUCACUUAACUAAAAUCCAAUUGGUCUUAUAACUAAUUCUAUAAAUAUUUUUAAUAAUUAUUUUAAUAGUCCAUUUUACCAAAACAGAGACCUGAUAAUUCACUUUCCAAUACCUGCACUUUUUAGGUCGUUUCAAAAUUAAAAUCCCCCAAGUCCUAUAUAUUUUUUGUAAGUUUAGAAUUUAGUUUGUAUAUUUUUAUUUUUAAGAAAUUAGUUCCUAUAUUUUUUAAAUUUUAAAAUUCAAGUCCAACUGUUAACACUGUUAAAAUUAUUUUAUUAAAUUCAGGUUCAUUAAAAUGUCAUAUUCUUAGUUACAUGGCUACCAAGUAAGUAAAAUUUUUUUUAAAUCAAACUGUCACACUAACAAAUCCAACAAAAAAAAAUUUAACAGUAUUAACAAUUGGACCUGAAAUUUGAACUUUGAAAGUAAAAAAAUUAAAUUCCUAUAAAUACAAGUAUAAAGACUAAAUUUCAAAUUUAUGGCGAGUACAAGGACAUAUGGCAUAUUUUAACCUAAAAAAGGGUACCCUACUUUAGUAGUCAUCCAACUAAGUUUUUUUUCUUUUUCGGUCACUCAAUCAUGAAAAGUUACAAAAUAGUCUCCCAACGAUUCAAUUUUAUCAUUUUUAUCAUCAGUUGGCUAAUGAAAAAAUAGAAAACACCAAAAAAUCCAAGAUAAUUGGGUGAAAAAAAAGGAAAAAAAAUAAUAGUUUAUUGAUUAUUUUGUAACUUUUCAUAAUUAGGUAAAAGAAAUUACUAAUAAUUUGGUGAUCAUUUCGUAACUUUUUAAAUAGUUGAAUGACUUUUAAUAUAGUUUACCCAAAAAAGAAUAUUAACGGCGUCAAAUAGAAAAUGAGAAAACAAAUUUAAAACAAAGAUAAACAAAAUGAUGUACUUAACGAUGUUACUCCCUUCUUCUCCAACCAAAACGCCGUCGCUUUGUUCCUCAAACGUAAAACAUGGUGGGACCAUUUCCAACCAUAUUCUCAAUUUAUUAAUUAAUUUUUUAAAAUUAAUUUAUAAAUUCUAAAAUAUUUUAAUUAAGUUUUGAAAGUAUUAAUGUUAUAUCAAUAAAAUCAUUCUAUUUUUGUAGCUGUCAAUUUAGGUUUUAAAUUUCAGUUCUCAUUUGACAUGGAUUAAAUUGUAAAUACUUGUGUACUCAUCAUAUUGAUAACUUGAUUCUAACAUAUUAAAAACACGAAGAGAUUAUAAAAUUUAAGAGGAUUAUUUCUUCUUCUUCUUCUUUUUUUAACACAUUAGAUUAAACAAAAUGCACACUUUUAAGAUAUUAAAUUAAUGGAUUUUUAUAUUUGAUGUAUCAAAUAAUUAUAUUAUACACACAAUAAUAUCACUUCAUUAAAAAAAAUAAAAUUCACAUGCUGAUGUUGUUCUGGUCAAGGUUUUCAAAACUAGAUAGGUGGUCGAACCAAUCAUAUUAAUUGAUUUUUGGUCCAAUUUGUUUGUUCGAUUCAAUUGAAAUAGUUUAAUUUAAUUUAGGGUUUUUAGAUAUGGAAGUUUCAUAUUACAAUAAUUGAAUUUUGAAAAUUUUUAUAGAUUUUUUUAUAUUAUAUAUAUUAAUUUAUUUAAAAUGUUUUCAAAUUUAACUAAUCAUAGUUUGACAUGUGUCAUAUAUUAGUAAAAAUUGUCAACACCAAUCUUAAUUGUCCUUAUUUAUUCACCUUUGAAAACUACAUGGUUUCCAUUAAUCUGUUUUCACCGGCCUCAAAAAAUUGACAAUAGGAGAUUGCAAGGAGGUUGAUUUAGGAGGCAUGCAAUGGGAACCUCUUGGUUGGUGAUUGGUAAUAUUCCAAAGCUGGUGUCUCUCCCCCUUGGGCUUCAACAUCUUUUUCGAUUGAAAACAUUGGGAAUUCAUGAAUGCCAUGGAUUGAGGUCACUCUUACCUGUGUUCCAACAUCUCUCUUUCCUUGAAGAGUUUUCAAUAAGUAACUGCAAGGAGCUGGAGUUAUCUGCACCUAACUUCCAAAUAUUCCAAGAUCAUACAAGCCUGCGCUCUCUGGCGCUGGCAAAGAUUCCAAAGUGUCGCCAUCUUCCGGAGUGGCUUCAACAUCAAACAAAUCUGCCAAGGCUUAUUCUCUGUGAUUUGCCUAAUUUAACAUCGCUUCCGGACGAGAACCAGUUUGGAAGAGUUUUUUAUGAAACGAAUUCCUCAGUUGGAGGAAAGAUGUCGGAAGGGGAUUGGUGCCGAUUGGCAUAAGAUUGCUCAUAUCGCUACAGGUUGUUAUAUUGACUCUCCAACUACAGCCUCUUUUGCCAAAAUAGAACAAGCUUUUGGUGCAAUUUCUUCAUUUGUCAUUUUAUUUGGCUACUUUGUGCAGUAAGCAUCGAAGACUUUUAGUGAAACGAAUUUGGCAAUUUCAAGAAUUCAAAUGCAGAAAAAAAAAAGUGGUAAUCUAGCUAAUUGCUUUACGCUUUUAAAUUAUAUUAAUCUCAGCAUCGCAAUGAUCUGAUGAAAUCCUAUUGUGUAUACACAUUUGAAAAUGCAGCUUACACCAAAUACCAACAAGGAAUGACAGGUAAUUCAUGCCAUUCAUUUAUUUUCUAUUUGAUUCAAUAAAAUAAAAUUGAAUAAUUUAGAUUUAGUGUGAUGUAUUUUGGUGGUUCAUAUCUAUCAUUGUAGCGACCUAAAAAUUUGUCGAUGGGCGCUAAUCGAAUUGAUUGUUGAAAAUUUGAAAAUGGAAUUCCGAUUUCAUUUAAAAAGGGAGUCGCCACCGAUCUUUUUUCUAGGUGUGAUCGGACACCUAAUAAAUUCUCUUUUUUUAAAAGAAAAUUUAUUUUUCAAAUUUUCUGAAAAACAGUCAAUUUUAGGUCCACGUCAAAAUCCAGAGAAAAUUAGGGUUCGGGAGUCAGUUACGCGCGAGGAAGGUAUUAGCACCCUCGCGACGCCCAAAAUUGGUAUCUCGUUAAACGCGUGUUGUCUUCAUUUUCAAAAAUACGAGUUCAAUUUAAUAUUAGUCAUGAUUCAAUUGAAACAGGAGAAUUUUGAAACACAACAACCCUUUUUUUUGAAAACACGAAUUUUUUUUUAAAACGCAAGAAUUUUAGAAACACGAAAAAUUUUAAAAAAAAACACGAAAAAUUUGAAACACGAGAAUUUUUUCAAAACACGAAUUUUCUUUUUGAAACACAAAAAUUUUGAAAACACAAAAUUUUAUUUUGAAAACACAAAAUUUUAUUUUGAAAACACAAAAGAUUUUUUUUGAAAUACGGAAAUUUAUGAAACACGGUCAAUUUUUGAAAACACGAAAAUUUUUGAAAGACGGGAUUUUUUUUAAAAACACGAAAAUUUAUAAAACACGGAAAUUUUUUUCUGAAAACAAGAAAAUUUUCGAAAAACGAGAAUGUUUGAAAACACGGGAAAUUUUUGAAAACAUGAAAAUUUUUGUUACACUAGAAUUUUGAAAACACGAAGAUUUUUGAAACAUGAGGAUUUUUGAAAACACGAAGCUUUUUGAAACAUGAGAAUUUUUUGAGAACAUGAAAACACGAAAAUUUGUCAAACACGGGAAUUUUUUAAAAACACGAUAACAUCAAAGAGUAUUCAAGAGAGUUUUUUGAAACACGGAAUUUUUUUUUCGCAAAAAGUGAAGAUUUUUUGAAAUACGAGAAAUUUUUGAAGAUAUAAAAAUUUUUGAAACACGAUUUUUCUUUAAAAAAUACCGUAUUUAACACGAAUCGAUGAUAUUCAUCCCGAUAUGGCGAUGAAACCAUCGAAUUAGUGUUAACUCAAUUCAAUUUAACAUUUAAUCGGGAUUCUAUUAAAACACGAGAAAUUUUUAAAUACGGGGAUUUUUGAAUUUUUUUAUUUUUGAAAGGGCGUCCCGAAUUUAAUACGAGCUAUCGAUAUUCACCCAACAUAGCGAUGAAUUCGGCGACUCGAUGCUAAACCGAUUCGUUGCCUUAUUUAUUAAAAUAAUUUUUAUUUCAUUUUUUUAUUUGCAAAUAAAGCCACUCUAAUAUUACUAAAAAAACUAUUUAAAAUAUGCUAAUUAAAUUUAAAUGAAAUAAUAUUUAAAUAAAUGAAGCUAAAUUAAAAAAUUUAAGGAAAUUACCAAAAAGCCCCAAAGUGGUGGGCCCUUUUCUUUUUUCCUUUUUUUUCUUUUUUUUCUGCUGGAUGUCGGGCCUGGGCGUUGGGCCAAAGGGAGGCCUGCUUGGCCUGCUGCUGCUGAGCCUGGGGCUUGCUGCUGCUGGGCCUUCGCUGGGCCUGCGCAAAAGGGGCCUGCUUCCUUUUUCUCUUCUUCUGCUGGGCUGUUACUGCUAUUGGGCCUGCUGCUUAUUUUUUUUUCUGGUUCUUUUUUUUGCUUGGGCCUGGGUGUUUUGCUGCUGGAUCCUGCUGUUUGGAGAGGGCUGUUGGAGCGCGGGUCGGGUCGGGAUGGCUCCGAGGGUCGGGUGGUCGGGUCGGGUUGACCCGAUUGACUUUAAAAUUUUUUUUUUCUUUCUCUUUUUCUUUUUUCUUUUUCUUCUCCCUUUUUCUUCUUCUUUUUUCUUUCUUCUUUCUUCUUCUUCGGGCCGCACCUUAACCCCACGUGCGCCUUUGAGGGCGUUUCCUCCACCUGGUACGACGGCCGGUGGUGGCACGGUGGCGAUGAAGGGACGACUGGGCUUUCUUUUUGGACCUUUUUUUUGCUUUUUUUCUUGUUUUUUUGCUGCUGCGUUUUUGUUUUGCUUCUCUUUUUGUUUCAAUUUCUCUUGGCUUCUAGGUGGUGGUACGGUGGCUGCGGUGGCGGGUAGUGGCACGACGGCGGCGAGGGCUGUUGGGCUGUUAUUGUUUGGAUUUUUUUUUGAAUUUUCUCUGCACUUUUUCUCCUUUUUUUUUUCGAUUGCCCCCCCUUCUUCUCUUCCAUUUUCCUCUUUUAAUCUUACCAUUUUUGGCUUCUAUUCCUUUGUCUGCAGGUGGCUAGGGGAAGGAAGGCCAUGCAUUGGGGGUGGCAGGCGUGGCAAGCGGGGCACGCAAGAAUGCUGGUUGGGGGCAGUCUUGUCAUGCCCAGAAGGACCAAAAUGUAAAGGGUGUAAAAUUUCCAGGGUAAAAAUGUAAUUUCAGGAAAAUAUGGGGCCAAAAUGUAAAUUUUGAAAAGUUCGAGGGCUAAAAUGCCAUUUAUUUUUUUGUAUUUUUUUAAAUUUUAUUAUGACUAUUUAAUUAAUAUUUAAAAUUAUUAUAAAAAUAAAAAUAAAAAUGGGCUAAAGCCCAAACAAGCUUAAAAUCUAAUUACUUAAAACCCAAUUACCCAAACCCCAAAGGCCCAACCAUUGGACCCAAUCAUUAAGCCCAAAUGAGGCCAAUCCCACAAAAUUAUUUAAAAAAAAACAUAUAUAUAAAAUGAAAUAAAAUAAAAAAAAACACGAACUACAGACCGGACAAAAUUCAGUGAUUACAAUAAUUUCAUAGCUUCUAAUACUUUAAUUCUAAAAAAUCUUUAUUGGUACCCAAUGGACAUUUUCCAAAAUGCUUGCAUGCCAGCCUUCAAUAUGCUUCUACUUCAUGCUCUGCUUUGUUCAUUUUCCAAUUUUAAAUCUUAAUCAUAUGUAUAUACAAUUUUAUGUUUUAUCUUGAAAUUUUUGAUCUUUUUACCCUUAUUUUUGUUAGCUUUUGGCUCUAUUCUUCUGCAGAGCAUAGCAUGCAAUACAAAAAGCAGAGACCAUAUUUUCUACCCUCAUAUGUUUAUCUGCCCACAUAUUCGAUUGGCGUGUAUUUUUCUGAAAGGCAUUUGACAACUUUAAGAAUUUAGAUGCAGGCAAAUAGGUGGUAAUUACUUAAUUGCUUUACAUUUUUAAAAUCAUAAUAAUCUCAUAAUUUCAAAUGAUCUAAUAUAACCUCGUAACUAAGCUGCUUCCUUUUCAGCAUGAGUUCAAUGGAAGAGCCAAAAAGCAGGACAUGCAUUCUUCAUCAGCUGAUCUGUCCAUGGUAUUGUGUGUUGAAAGGUCAACAAAGGUAGGAAGCAACUUGUUAAAAAGGUUGAGCAAGUUGCACCGAAUGUUGAAAAGUUGAAUGGGAUAAUUGCAAUUUUGGUCCCUAAUUUUUUAGGCCAUUUGCAAGUUAGUCCCUGAACUUCAACUAUAAAUAGGCCUUUUCAUUUUUCAUUUCAACAAUCCCAACCAAUCUUUCUCUCUUAGUUUUCUCUCUUCUCCCAUUUGAGAAUUCUUAAGGAAUUCUAUUUGUUUGUAAUAUUUUGAAGAUAGUAAAGUUAUCAUCUGGUGUUAGUGCCCGAGGACGUAGGUAUAAUUUACCGAACCUCGUUAAAACUCUUGUGUUCUUUCUUGUCCUAUUUUUCUUUCAAUAUUUGAGGGUAUAAUAGUAGUAUUUAAUUGUGCUAUUAAAUUACUAUAGAAGGGAUAUUCUGACUAAGGAAAGACUUGGUAUUUAAGAGAUCCAUGUGAUCCACCUCUCUUCCCUGGGAAUUGAACUUUGUGUGAUUUUUUAGUACAAUAAUUUACACGCUUCCGACCCUAUUGGAACAAAAAGUGGUAUCAAGAGCCGAAGGUUAAGCGUAGUAUGCUCUGUGGUUGCAGUUUAAACUGAUCUUCCACAUCAGAAAAGAUUUCCUUAGGUAUAUUGAAAGAUUAUGGAGAAAACGGUCGGUGUAGGAGCUUCAACAUCGUCCAUGUGGACAAGACCGACAAUUGCAAAUGCAAGACUGGCCGUGGAGAUCUUUGAUGGCACAGGCCAUUUUGGUAUGUGGCAAAGUGAGGUUCUAGAUGCCCUUUUUCAGCAGGGUCUAGACAUUGCCAUUGAUGAAGAGAAACCAGAUGAUGUACAGGAGAAAUAUUGGAAGGCGAUCAAUCGGUUGGAAUGUGGCACAAUUCGAUCAUGCCUUUCUCGAGAGCAGAGGUAUGCUUUUUCAAAGGAGACUUCUGCAAAUAAGUUGUGGGUGGCACUUGAAGAAAAUUUUUUGAAGAAAAACAGUCAAAAUAAGCUCCACUUGAAGAAAAGACUGUUUCGCUUCACAUACGUCCCAAGUACCAGAAUGAAUGAUCACAUCACCAAAUUUAAUCAGUUAGUCACUGAUUUGCUGAAUAUGGAUGAGACAUUCAAAGAUGAAGAUUUGGCUUUGAUGCUGUUGGGGUCACUUCCUGAGGAGUUUGAGUUCCUAGAAACUACUCUACUUCAUGGCAGGAGUGAUAUAUCUCUGAGCGAAGUCUGUGCGGCCUUAUACAGUUAUGAACAGAGAAAGAAGGACAAACAGAAAAACUCAAUCAGAGAUACAGAAGCUUUAGUAGUCCGAGGUCGUUCAUACACUCGGAAGAAAACUCAAAAGGGGAGAUCAAAGUCAAAGUCCAGACUCGGGAAAGAUGAAUGUGCUUUUUGUCAUGAGAAAGGCCACUGGAAGAAAAAUUGUCCAAAGCUGAAGAAUAAGGGAAAAGCUGUUGUAGAUGCUUGUGUUGCAAAGCAUGAUACUAGUGACUCUGAACUAUCACUGGUUGCAUCAUCAUCGUCGUUCCAUUCAGAUGAGUGGAUAUUGGAUUCGGGUUGUACCUAUCAUAUGUCCCCUAACCGGGAGUGGUUCUUUGAUUUAGUAGAACUAAAUGGAGGAGUUGUUUAUAUGGGCAAUGACAAUACCUGUAAAACUGUUGGGAUAGGUUCAAUCCAAUUAAAGAAUCAAGAUGGAUCAACCAGAGUUCUGACUGAUGUUCGGUACGUGCCCAGUUUGAAGAAAAAUCUCAUCUCAUUGGGAGCCUUGGAAUCCAAUGGUUCAGUUGUUACUAUGAGAGAUGGGAUUUUGAAAGUGACAUCUGGCGCACUUGUGAUAUUGAAGGGCAUCAGGAAAAAUAACUUGUAUUACUACCAAGGUAGUACAGUUAUUGGAGCAGUCGCUACAGCUUCCGGUAACAAAGAAUUGGACUCAAUGCAGUUGUGGCAUAUGAAGUUGGGACAUGCCAGCGAAAAAUCCUUACAAAUUCUGGCAAAGCAAGGAUUGUUGAAAGGUGCAAAGGCUUACAAAUUAAAAUUUUGCGAGCAUUGUGUUCUGGGAAAGCAAAAGAGAGUGAAAUUCGGUACUGCUAUCCAUAAUACAAAAGGUAUUUUGGAAAAUGUUCACUCAGAUGUGUGGGGGCCUUCCAAGACACCUUUAUUGGGAGGAAAACACUACUUUGUUACUUUUGUUGAUGACUUUUCCAGAAGAGUUUGGGUGUAUACCAUGAGAACUAAGGAUGAAGUGCUUAAAGUUUUUCUUAAAUGGAAAACUAUGAUCGAAAACCAGACUGGCAAGAAAAUCAAGCGGCUUAGGACGGACAAUGGAGGGGAAUAUAAAAGUGAUCCGUUCUUCGAUGUGUGCCAAGAGUAUGGUAUUGUUCGACACUUCACAGUUAGGGAUACACUACAGCAGAAUGGAUUGGCAGAGCGUAUGAAUCGAACAUUGCUUGAGAAAGUUCGAUGUAUGUUGUCCAAUGCUGGGUUAGGCAAGCAAUUUUGGGCUGAGGCUGUGACAUACGCUGGCCAUCUUGUUAAUCGUUUGCCAUCAUCUGCAUUAGAAAGAAAAACUCCUAUGGAGGUAUGGUCUGGAAAACCGGCUACAGAUUAUGAUUCCUUACAUGUGUUUAGAUCCACUGCAUAUUACCAUGUGAAGGAGUCAAAGUUAGAUCCGAGGGCAAAGAAAGCUCUCUUUAUGGGAAUCACUUCUGGAGUGAAGGGAUUUCGUCUUUGGUGCUUAAGCACAAAGAAAAUGAUCUGUAGCAGAGAUGUUACCUUUGAUGAAUCUGCCACAUUGAAAAAGGUAGCAGAUAAAGAUAUUCAGACGAGCAAUACUCCACAACAGGUGGAGUGUACUCCAAAACAGGUGGAGUUUGAGCAGAUGGGGAUUUGCCCAGUUAAUAAGUCUAAUUCUCCAGCCACAAUGGAGGAAUUAGAGGUUGAAGAGGUUCUGACCCAAGAACCACUAAGUACACCAGAACCAGUUGCAGUUGCAAGGCCACGGAGAGAAAUUCGUAAACCUGCUCGAUUUACUGAUAUGGUGGCCUACGCCCUUCCCGUUGUUGAUGAUAUUCCUAUCACUUAUCAAGAAGCAAUGCGAAGCUUAGAAAGUGAUAAAUGGAAAAGUGCCAUGGAUGAAGAAAUGCAGUCUCUCUUGAAGAAUAAUACUUGGGAAUUGGCGCAAUUACCGAAAGGUAAAAGGGCAAUCGGAUGCAAGUGGGUAUUCGCAAAGAAAGAUGGAUCUCCUAGCAAGAAGGAUAUUCGCUACAAGGCAAGAUUGGUAGCUAAAGGCUACGCUCAGAAGGAGGGAAUUGACUACAAUGAUGUAUUUUCCCCUGUUGUGAAACAUUCCUCCAUUAGAAUUUUGUUGGCCUUGGUAGCACAGUUGAAUUUGGAGCUAGCUCAACUUGAUGUUAAGACGGCUUUCUUGCAUGGUGAGUUAGAAGAGGAGAUCUAUAUGACUCAGCCCGAAGGAUACACAGAUGCUGGUGGUAGAAAUUGGGUUUAUAAGCUGAACAAAUCGCUAUAUGGAUUGAAGCAAUCCCCGAGGCAGUGGUACAAGCGAUUUGAUAGCUUUAUGAGAAGGCAGAAGUACACAAGAAGCAAAUAUGACAAUUGUGUAUAUUUGCAGAAGCUGCAUGAUGGAUCUUUCAUUUCUCUACUCUUGUAUGUUAAUGAUAUGUUAAUCGCUUCGAAGAGCCAAAAUGAGAUAGAUAAGCUGAAGGCUCAGUUGAAUCAAGAGUUCGAGAUGAAAGAUCUAGGUGAGGCCAAGAAGACUCUCGGCAUGGAGAUAAGUAGAGAUAGACCGAGAGGCAAACUCUGUUUAAAUCAGAAGUAAUAUCUGAAAAAGGUAUUACAAUGUUUUGGUGUAAAUGAAAACACAAAACAUAUAAGUACCCCACUUGCUUCUCAUUUGAAACUUAGUGCUCAAUUAUCUCCGAAGACUGAAGAUGAAAGAGAAUAUAUGGCGAAAGUCCCAUAUGCUAAUGCAGUUGGGAGUUUGAUGUAUGCGAUGGUGUGUACGAGGCCUGACAUUUCACAAGCUGUUGGAGUUGUGAGCAGGUAUAUGCAUGAUCCUGGAAAAGGACAUUGGCAAGCUGUGAAAUGGAUUCUACGGUAUCUUCGAAAAACCGUAGAUGUUGGUUUAAUUUUUGAACAGGAUGAAGCACUUGGUCAGUUUGUAGUUGGAUAUGUUGAUUCCGACUUUGCUGGUGAUUUAGAUAAACGUCGUUCAACUACGGGGUAUCUGUUUACUCUUGCGAAAGCCCCAGUGAGUUGGAAGUCUACCUUACAGUCUACAGUAGCUGUGUCUACUACAGAGGCAGAAUAUAUGGCAGUUACAGAAGCUGUUAAGGAGGCUAUUUGGCUUAAUGGAUUAUUGAAAGACUUGGGAGUUGUUCAAAGUCACAUUAGUCUAUAUUGUGACAGUCAGAGUGCUAUUCAUUUAGCGAAAAAUCAAGUCUAUCAUUCAAGAACCAAGCAUAUCGACGUAAGAUAUCACUUUGUGCGGGAAGUCUUUGAAAAAGGAAAAAUUCUACUUCAGAAGAUUCCGACAGCAGAUAAUCCCGCAGAUAUGAUGACCAAAGUGGUAACAACAAUCAAGUUUAAUCAUUGUUUGAACUUGAUUAACAUCCUGAGAAUUUGAGCACCUACAGGUGUAUGGCGCUCGAGAGCGCAUUUAGAGGCACUACAAAAGAUAACUUUAUCGAAUUUGGGGAGUUGAAGGAAGUGUGUGAAGAUGUGAUUAUCCUAAUCAAAUCUUCAAGGUGGAGAUUGUUGAAAGGUCAACAAAGGUAGGAAGCAACUUGUUAAAAAGGUUGAGCAAGUUGCACCGAAUGUUGAAAAGUUGAAUGGGAUAAUUGCAAUUUUGGUCCCUAAUUUUUUAGGCCAUUUGCAAGUUAGUCCCUGAACUUCAACUAUAAAUAGGCCUUUUCAUUUUUCAUUUCAACAAUCCCAACCAAUCUUUCUCUCUUAGUUUUCUCUCUUCUCCCAUUUGAGAAUUCUUAAGGAAUUCUAUUUGUUUGUAAUAUUUUGAAGAUAGUAAAGUUAUCAUCUGGUGUUAGUGCCCGAGGACGUAGGUAUAAUUUACCGAACCUCGUUAAAACUCUUGUGUUCUUUCUUGUCCUAUUUUUCUUUCAAUAUUUGAGGGUAUAAUAGUAGUAUUUAAUUGUGCUAUUAAAUUACUAUAGAAGGGAUAUUCUGACUAAGGAAAGACUUGGUAUUUAAGAGAUCCAUGUGAUCCACCUCUCUUCCCUGGGAAUUGAACUUUGUGUGAUUUUUUAGUACAAUAAUUUACACGCUUCCGACCCUAUUGGAACAACAUUGUGCUCCCCUAAAUCCUCCUCUCUAUGCACAUUUGUUCUUUCUUUUUCUUUGUUGAAGAGUCGAUCUGUAUGCAUUCUUCAUCAGCUGAUCUUACUGUAUUGUUUCUCCAAAACAAUAGGGAAAGAAAAGGGAAAGAGACUUACUGUUCUUUGUCAAGCUCAGAGGUUCAUUUGAAAUUUUAGAGGAUUUAGGUAAAACUAUUAAAUUCAAAAAAUAGUCCCAUUUAAAAUAUGAGUCGAGCUUGAAUUUGAAUAUUUAAAGCCUAAGUUUGGCCCGACCCAAUUUUUAAGUUUGCAAUAUUUUAUAUUAUGUUAAUUUUAUAUGUUAUGUAAUUUGUAACAAAUAAAAAUAAAAAUUAUAAUACUAUUAUAAUCUUAAGAUGACUAUAUAUAAAAUUUUAAUAAAAAUGUAAAAAUAUUAAAUAUUAAGUUAAAAAUAAUAUAAAUUCAUUUAAAUUUUUUUAAAAAUAGUAUGAGUGGAUUUAAAAUGAGUUUGAGUUAACUGUUUACAAAUUUGAACAGACUUUAAGUUUAUAUUUUGGACCAGGCUGAACCUAAACAAAUAUAAAAUAAAAUAUAAAUAUUUUCAUUUUUUUAAAUUCUCUAUUAUAUUUUGGCAUAAUGAUUUAUUUAACCUUCUAAAUUUAUGAAAAAAUCAAUUUAGUCCUUAAACUUGCAUGGCAUACACAUGGAUGCCACAUUAGCAAUUAACUAAUGUUCUAAAUAUAAAAAUUUUAAAAAAGUAUACAACUUAUUAAAAGUUUUAAAAAGUAUAAAAAUUAUUAAAAACUAUUUUAAAUUUUUAAAAAAAAAUUAAUCAAUUGCUAAUGUAGCAUACACAUUGGCUUCCAUGUGGAAGCCACAUCAGCAAAGUUAAUAAUUUAGUAUAAGAAAAUCUUUUAUGUCCAGUUUGGUGCAAUAAAAUCAAGUGAUAUUAGUUUAAUUCGAUUAUAUUUUUUUAUCCAUCCAUUAUAAUUUAGUUUAGUACGAUUUUUUAUUAUAAAUUUUUAUAAUUAUUUUAAUAAAAUAAACUUUAUUUUACGGCUUUUAAAUAUCAUUUGACAAAUUUUCAAAGUUUUUUUCAUAGAUUUUUUUAAAAUUAUUUUAAGUAGAUAAAAAUAAUUAAAUACUUUUUAACCCAUUUUGGAUGGUUUGACAAAAAAAUAUAAGUUCAAAGACUAAAAGAAAAUGAAAGUAAAUAGAGAGCUAAAAUAAUUCUUUUAUAAAGUUGGAAUGCCAAAAAAGUUAUUAUACUUUCAUUUUUCAAAAUAAUUAAUAAACACUUUAAACAUAAGUGCAUCUACAUUUGCUUCGUGAUUGUUCUUUCUAUAAAUUCACGAUAAUCAAGUUAAACAAGUAAUUUAGUGAGGUUAAGUAUUGUAACAGUGAGAUUAAAGUUAAUUGUAGAAUAUGUAUUUGAAUUCAAAUGUAAAUAUAUCGAUAAAAUGAGAAUAAAAAAUCACUAUUAAAGCGGAAUUAGAUGCCCUCAUCGAUGGUUUUUGGCGGCUUGCUCAAUUUCUUAAAGCCAAUAAUGUCAUUUUUGAAACAGAUUGUGCUAGCAUUGUCAACCGCUUUAGUUUUCACAAGGAGGACAUAACGAUCGUUGAUCACUGCAUCAAGGAGCUCACAAAAUGCUUAAUUCUUUUGUUUCUUUCGAGGUCAAAUGGGUGAAACGUGGUUAUAACAAAUUAGCCGAUUCUCUUUGUAAUUGGGCUCUUUCUAAGUGUAGUAAUUUAUCUUUUGAGAUGAAUUAUCCUAACGAUCGAUAUUCAUAACGUUGUAAUUUAUGAUGCAACUUAAAAUGAGAUAGUGACCUUUGGGUUUUUUUUAUAAAAAAAACAGUAUUAAAUAUAUUAAGUUAAAAUACAUGUAUAUGUAAAAUAAAUGAUUAAAAAUAUAUUUAAAAAUAAAAUAUCUUAAAUAAACAAAUCAAAAUCAUUCAACUCACAAUAAAACAAUUAUAUGUGUAUUAAAAUAAUUAAAUAGAUAUGAGCAGUGGAAGCAAUCUUCAUGAUGGUAUUAAGUAAUGAUUUUUCCUUCAAUACCAAUUAAAUACACAUUCCCAUGGAGCUGACAUAAACCCAAUAUCUUUCCACAUGUUGUACAUGUUCAAAAACGAAAUUAAUUUUUCUUUUGUUGGCAAUAGUAGCCGAGCUAAAAAUUUUUUUACUCGGAAUUAAAUUAUAUAUUUUUAUAGUAAUGUAUUUUUAUAAUUUUUAAAGAGUUAAAUUAAAUUUUUAUAAUUUUUUUAGAUGAUCAAAUUAUAAUUUUAUCACUAUUAAUUUAAAAUUUUAUAAAUUAUAAAAUGUCUAAAUUAAAAAUUUAUCAUUUUAGGAGUCUCUACUAGGCUUCGCAGGUGAUAGCGCAACUUGUCAAGAAUGACCAUCCAAGCUAUAACAAAAUGUUUUGGGAUAUGCUAAAUCAACCUCUUACAUUUUACUUUGAUAUAUUACAUAGACAAGCAAUUAUAUUAAUCCAAUGUAAAAAAAUAUAUGUAUGCAUUUUUUUUACAUAUGUACAGUUGAAUCAGAAUUAAAAUUAAUAGCAAAUAUAAUUAACAUACCCAUUAAUAUAAAAAGAUUUAAUAAUAAGGGUAUACUAAAAUAGUAAUGAACAGUAACUAUUGUCGUAAUAUAUAAUUAUAGACACCAAGUUACUUUAAAAGACAAAAUCAAAGCUAAGUAGGUAGGUGAGAAAUGUGAACAUGAUAAUCACUUGUAAGUUAAUUGAAUUCGAUUCAAAAAAGAUUUAAAUUUGAUUUAGUAGUCAUUAAGUUAUGUUUAAAUUAUUGAUUUAAUCGGAUUGGGAUUUAAUAAAAUUUGAUUCUAAUGGUGAAUGAGUUUUAUUGAAUUUUUUAUUUUAUAUAUUCAACCAAAGUUAAACUCAAAAAUAAAAUAUUGAAUUUAAGUUAAACUCGCGCAAUUACACAAAGUAAGUGGGAAGAAGGUUUAGAAAGGCUUCAAUCAAAACACCUUGGAUUCCAUGGGAUUUGUCGCCUUUUUCUCUUUUCUUUCGUAGCCUUUUCAUUAAUUUCAAUUAUUUGUACGGCUCCACAUUGUGCAGAGCAUUGAGAAAUUUCUCAUCAUCCCAACUUUGUCUCCAUUCAGAAAUUUGUGUCACAUGGAGGGACAUUUCCCACCAAUCAACAUGACUUUAACUUGGAGGGACCAUUUCCCACCAAUCAACAUGACUUUUUAUUUAAUUAUACUACUUGCUGGGUGGAUGGAUCCACAUCUGUGCUUCAUCUUGUUGGAAUCAUUCUCAUUUUAGUUCUCCUCUUUCACGAAUCAAACACUUUUUGCCUUGAUUUCAGUUUGAACCAACCAUGGCCGAAGCAAUUGCUUCCGUCAUUGCCGCAGAGCUCAUUAUUAAGUUGAGCUCUCGUGCUCUCUCUCAAGUUGGGCUGUGGUGGAAUCUCAAACAUGACAUCCACGAUCUCAGACGCACUGUCUGUCAAAUCAAAGCUGUGCUUCUUGACGCAGAAGAGAAAUCGGUGACCGACAAUCUCGUCAAAGUUUGGCUUGAAGAGCUGAAAGAUGUACUUUAUGAGGCCGACGACUUGCUCGAUGAUUUCUCUACUGAAGCUUUGCGGAAAGAUGUAUCGGGUGGGAACAAGCUGACGAAAGAGGUACGCCUUUUCUUCUUAACCUCAAACCAAUUUGCUUAUGGUCUCAAAAUGGGUCGGAAAAUGAAGGCCAUUAAGGCGAGAUUAGCUUCAAUUGAAAGGGAGGCCAACACUUUUGGCUUCAUUCCUCGUGAUCGCCCCGCGGAAACCUCUUUCAUGACAAAAAGGAGGCAGCAAACGCACUCUUUUGAGCUUGAAGAUGACAUAAUAGGGAGGGAUGAUGAUAAAGCAGCUCUUCUAAAACUCGUGUUGGAGUUUCAAAGUGAAGAGAAUGUUUAUGUCAUUCCAAUUGUGGGGUUUGGAGGGUUAGGGAAGACUGCUUUGGCCCAACUUGUCUAUAACCAUGAAAUGGUCAAAAAUCAUUUCGACUUAACGAUGUUUGCGUGUGUUUCAGAUGAUUUUGAUGUGAAAGUUAUUGUAGCAAACAUUAUCAAAUCUGUGACUAAUCAAGCACCUGAUCAAAAUCUUGAAAUGGAUCAAUUGCAAAAACAACUUCGAGAUAAAAUUGAUGGGAAAAAAUAUUUGCUUGUUUUGGAUGACAUUUGGAAUCAGGACCCAGAGAAGUGGUCUAGGCUAAAGAAGUUAUUGAUGGGUGGGGCUAAAGGGAGUAGGAUAAUAGUAACUACUCGAUCUCUAAGGGUAGCGGAGAUAAUUAAUAAAUGUCAAUCCCAUGUUUUGAAAUUGAAAGGCUUGUCUGAUGAUGAUGCUUGGUCUUUGUUCAGAAAGAUAGCAUUUGAACAAGGAUAUGCAGACUCAACAAAUUCAGCCUUUGUGGAAGUAGGGAAACAGAUUUCGGAAAGGUGUGGUGGGGUUCCCUUAGCCAUAAGGACGAUAGCUGGUACAUUAUCUUUGAAGAAAACUGCAAAUGAGUGGCAUUCUUUCAAAGAAAAUGAACUUGCUAAAAUAUCACAAAUUGAAGGAGAACUUCUACCUAUACUGAAAUUGAGUUAUGAUCAUCUCCCGUCUCAUUUGAAGCAUUUCUUUGCUUAUUGCCGAUUGUAUCCAAAAGAUUACAGAAUUAAAGUACAAGAGCUUGUUCAAAUUUGGAUUGCACAGGGUUUCAUAAAGCAAUUGAAUCAAAGUCAAUCUCUGGAGGAGAUCGGGUUUGGGUAUUUUAAAGAUUUAGUUGAAAUAAGUUUCUUCCAAGAAGUAGGAGAAAGAUAUUCAAGGGAAGGGCUAACAUGUAAAAUGCAUGAUUUAAUGCAUGAUGUAGCUGAAUCAGUAGCAGGGAUGGAGAGUAGUAUUGUAGAUUCAAAUAAAAUUGCAAGUGAUGUUGGUGAAAAAUGGCGACACAUAUCAAUUAAACCUUCAUUAAUUCCUUUGUUUAAGGGAAAGAAGUUGCGAACCUUGUUACAUUUUCAAGACAAAAUAAGUCAAGAUUUCAGCUAUGAAACUUGGGAUUUGAUAAUUGCAAAUUGUAGAUGCUUGCGUGUAUUGAAAUUGAAUUCUAUAGGUAUUCAAAAGAUUUCACCCUCCAUUUGUAAGUUGAAACAUUUGAGGUACCUUGAUCUUUCUUGGAAUUUCAAUAUUAAGAUUCUCCCAGAGAGUAUUUGCAAGAUUCAGAAUUUGCUAGCGCUGAAACUUGAUGGGUGUGAUGGGCUUAAAGAAUUGCCAAAGAAGAUUGAAAAAUUGGUGAAUCUUACCCAUCUUGAGUGUGAACAUUGUAUUAGUUUAACUCAUAUGCCACGUGGAAUAGGGAAGCUGACUUCACUUGAGACGUUAAGCAUGUUUGUAGUGGAUAAAGAUGGGUCCCAUGGCGGUGCAGAUCUAAGUGAAUUGAGACUGCUUAACAACUUAAGGGGAGGGUUAGGAAUAACAAAUUUGGGAUUCGUAAAAAAUGCAAAAGAGAAGUUUAAGGCUGCUAAUUUGAAAGAGAAGCAACAUUUGAGAUGGUUGGGUUUACAAUGGAAAUUUGAUUCUGAUGAUGAAGAUGAUGAUGAUGAUGAUGAUGAGAAGUCACUUGAAGACCUCCAGCCCCAUCCUAAUCUCAAGGAGCUCUGUAUUGAAAGAUGGAGGGGUGAUGCCAAGUUUCCAAGUUGGCUUCCUUUGCUCACAAAUCUCGUCAAAAUUUUCACAAGUGGUGGUAAUUUCAGACAAAUCCCGUCCUUUGCGCAAUUUCCUUGUCUUAAAGGGCUGACUAUAGAUGAUUGUACUAAGCUGGAGUACAUGGAUGAUAAUAGCCCAAAAGGAAGUCAAGGAGAACCACAAUCAUUCUUCCCAUCACUGAAGCAUCUUUCGCUCUGGAACUGUCCGAAUAUGAAGAGUUGGUGGAGGACGACAAAACCAAUCGAUGAUGAUUCCAACGAGGACGACACAACAGUUAUGGGAACAUCAACCAUGGCAUUUCCUAGUCUUUCCUCUUUAGGCAUUCAAAAUUGCCCUUUAAUUUUAAUGCCACUGUAUCCAUCACUCGAUGAAGGUCUAAUGUUGUUCUAUACCAGUUCAAGGCCGUUAAAGCAGACUAUCAAAAUGAACAUCAAUGCUAAGGCCCCAUCAACUUCAACCUCUUCUCUUCCACUCUCCAAAUUGAAAUCUUUCCAUGUAUACAACAUUGAGGGGUUGGACACUCACACGCUAGAUGAGUGCCUGCAACAUCUCACCAGCCUCAAAAGAUUAACAAUAAGAGAUUGCAAGGAGGUUGAUUUAGAGGGCAUGCAAUGGGAACCCCUUAAGAAUCUCUCUCAUUUGGAGAUUGAUAAUAUUCCAAAGCUGGUGUCUCUCCCCAUUGGGCUUCAACAUCUUGUUCAAUUGAAAACAUUAAAAAUUCAUAACUGCAAUGGAUUGAGGUCACUUCUUCCUGUGUUCCAACAUCUCACUUCCCUUGAAGACUUUUUAGUAAUGGACUGCAAGGAGCUGGAGUUAUCUGGGGCUGGCAUCCAAAUAUUCCAAGAUCAUACAAGCCUACGCUUUCUACAGCUGCAAAAUAUUCCAAAGUGUCGGCAUCUUCCGGAGUGGCUUCAACAUCUAACAAAUCUGCAACGGCUUUUUCUCGUUAAUUUGCCCAAUUUAACAUCUCUUCCGCACCAGAUGCAUUGCCUAACCAGUUUGAAGUAUUUACACAUACAAGAAAUUCCUCAGUUGGAGGAAAGAUGUCGGAAGGACAUUGGCGCUGAUUGGCAAAAGAUUGCUCACAUCCCCAACAUUUGGUUGAAUCAGGUUGGUCUGUCUUUGUUAUUUAUUUAUUAUGAUGACCUUAUCUUUUUUUGAAGAAAAAUAAGAGUGGUAUAUUGAAUCUCCAAGUGAGGGGUCUGAUGCCAUUUUUCAUUGAAGUUGGAUACUGUUAAUUUCCUUGUUAAAAUCCCUUUGUUUUAAUCCUACUUUUUACUUAUCAUCUUUCAUAAUAUUUUUGGUGAUUUGUGCAUUAAGGCAUUGGAGAAAGGCAUUAGUCAACUUCAAUAAUUUUUUAUGCAUAAAAAGAGG